AUGUUUACAAGUCACCACCACCACCAUCUCCUUCCCCACCACCUCCAUAUGUUUACAAGUCACCACCACCACCAUCUCCUUCCCCACCACCUCCAUAUGUUUACGAGUCCCCACCUCCUCCAUCUCCUUCCCCUCCACCUCCUUAUGUUUACAAGUCUCCACCUCCACCAUCACCUUCACCUCCCCCACCUUACAUCUACAAAUCCCCACCACCACCAUCUCCCCCUCCUCCACCUACAUAUUUUUAUAAGUCACCACCCCCACCAUCUCCUUCGCCACCUCCCCCAUAUUACUACAAGUCUCCACCCCCACCUUCCCCCUCUCCUCCUCCACCAUAUGUUUACAAGUCUCCACCUCCUCCUUCACCUUCUCCACCUCCUCCCUAUGUAUAUAAGUCUCCUCCUCCACCUUCUCCCUCGCCUCCUCCACCAUACUAUUACAAGUCACCACCACCUCCUUCUCCUUCACCACCACCAUAUUACUACAAGUCUCCACCCCCACCUCCUAAGUAUUAAGCUUGCGGCUAAAUCAAUGUCAAUAUUUUCAUUACGUUCAACAUUGUUGCCAUUAAUUUGUAAUGCUAUGAAUUUCUUCAUAAUAAGGCCUGUGCCGAAGUAAUCCUUCUUUUGGAUAUACUGUAGACAUGUUUGUUUAUUGUUGUCAGUUCAGAAGUGUGCCUUAAUCUCUUUCUCCAAUAUACAUUUACCAUCAUACUUUAUUCUUGGUAUUCAUUCUCCUCUUUGCUUUUUGAAGUUAUGAUGAUGGCAUUCGUGAAAUAUUGAUAAAUGGAAAUUUUCUCAUUCACAUCUUGUCCAUCUCUAUUCUUGGUUUUCAUUCUCCUCUUUGCACUUUGAAGUUAUGAUGAUGGCAUUCGUGAAACAUCGAUAAAUGGAAAAUUUUCAUUCACAUCUUCUUCUCCAUCUCUACAUGCACACACAUACAUGUGAGUCUUGAUCAUAAUUAAACAACAAAUAAUAAUAAAGAAAUAAGACACUGUGCGUGCAAGUAUUCAAGAAAUAGUUACAAAUAUACAGUGGCUUAAUAAACUAAAUAUUAUGUAUAGUAUAAUAGGUUAAAGAAUCACUGUAAUAUUAAAAAAAAAAUCAAUAAAGAAAUUAGUAAAUAUUUUUAUUGACUUAGUUUUAUAAGGCAAUAUACAAGCAUAAUAUACUAAUCUAUAAUCAGCAUUUACUAAUGAGAUAAAAACACCAAUCUUCUCUAACUUUAAUUAUUUGAUUGUGAUAAUAUUAUUGACCCUACUUGUCUCUUUUGAAUGUAUAGUUUGUGACCGUAUCACCUAAAAUAAACAAUAAUCAAGCAUAUCAUACUUAUUCUCAUUUCUCGAACACAAAUAUAAUAUGGAAAGACAUUAUUUACACAUUUGUUCCAAACUUGCUGAUGACUAAUCUAAAAUCAACUAUUCAUUUUUAUAAGUUUUCUUCGGCUCUCUUCUUGUUCAUAUUAUUUGUUACUCACCGACAUAUAUUAUUAAUCUUCAAAAUAAGUUACUCUCAACUGAUAAAUAAUUUACAAGGUUAAUGUAUCUAUUAAAAGAAGAAAAAAACUUGGUUAAUGGUUACCUUCCUGAGAAACAUAUAGAAGGAUGCUGUGGCAGAAUUGCUUUUCACAUCAACAGACUUAGAAUGAUACCAGAGGACUGAAGCAAGAACAGCAUGUGCAGAAACCUAUAACAAAAAGUGAGAAUGAACGUCAAACUUCAACAAAAAUAUCAAAUCACCAACCAUGUUCACAUUCAUUAGAUAUAUCAGUCUUGGAGGUAUGUGACAAUUUGAUAAAUUUUGGAGCAUACUGAGCUUAAUACUCGAACAUAAUGUCAAUACAUAUAUAAAACACAGGAUAUAUUCCAUGCAACAGUGUUUACUUUUGCAAGGGAGAAAUUUCCUUAUUUAGAAACCCGAUACACACCAUAUAUGCAUCAGUUAAGGAGAAACACUCUUUAAGAAGUGAAACACAAAUCCACAAUACCUUAAAGAAACUUAUUUAUGAUAAAUCAAGGAUACAAGACCAAGUCCUCUGAGAUUAUACAUAAGAAGAACGUCCCCUCUUCUGAUCCAAAUGCACUGACAAAGAUUGAAUGCCAAAUUUUCAAUCUCCUUCAUUGUCAAGUAUAUCCUUUACGAAAGUCAACAUAGAGUAAUUUUACUUUCACAUCGAGUACACAUGUAUAAUUUAAGAAAACAGGAAGCUUUUAUCCUUUUACCUUGAACAAUGCUAAAACUAAAGAGAAGAAACUCAAGAAUGCUGUAGAAAAAAUCUAUGAUCCAGGAAGCAUAGUUGGCCUCUUUAACACAGAGGUCUGUAUAUUUAAUAUUAUGCACACAUAUUAGUAGCCAAAAACAUUUGGCUUUGUAGGAUGGUUUCUUUGCUGCCAGACAUUUGUUGCUGCAAUUAUGUGUACAGAAGCUAAUUGAUGCACAUAUGCAUUACAACUGAGGGCGCCUUUUAGAAAGACAAACCACCUGCAUAUGAAGAAAAAAGGCAAGUUGAAACAUUAUUCUAUGAACAACUACAAUGCACAUGGUUGCAAGCACUGCAAUUCUCUUCCUUCUCAACAGGGGUAGCUGCGAAAUUUUAGAGACCCGAGUAAUGGAAAAUAAAUGUAGUCACUAUCAAACAAAGUUUCUGAACAGAGGCUUUGGAGAAGCUUAAAUUCAAAUAUAACUACUGAAAAAGAAAAAAAGUGUCACAUAAUUUCAAUCCUUAAAGCUUUCCUCCAAUACCAAAGUUUUCCUCCUAACAGGAAAAUUAAGUGUAAGUACACAUGUUGUUUAACAUUUACUGCAUAAGGUUCACUGGAAUCUGAUAAAGCACGGUAAAAUUAUAGUUAUAGAAAAUGAACAAAUCGUACAAUGACCAUUAACAAUUAUGCCCUAAAUAACCAGGGGGGAAAUGAAGUGUAUAUGCCAUCAAAAUAAACUUACAUCGAUUGAAUAAGCAGUCCCCAGCAAUGGAAUUCAAAAUAGAAACAGUGAAACAGAGGAGCUUCUACGAUGCCUCCGGUGACCACUGGCUUUGUUGGCACCAAUGACAUUGGUGCGCGAUGGAGUAUAGUGGUUAGGGUUUUGCAUUUUCGCUUCUGGUUCGAUCUGGGGUUCUGCGUUUGUGAAUGAGGGAGGCGCGAGAGAACGAACAACGAAAUGCUUUUUUGGGUUCUGAAUCGCAGGUUCAUGGAGUCGCCGUGGUGCUUCAUGGUUGACGGCGACUCCACUGCAGGUUUUGGAAUUCAGUGUUGCAGGUGCGUUGCGAGGUUGAGGAAGAUGCAGACACGGAGGUUUAACGGCGCUGUGAUGGUCGUUGACGGUGAUUUUGGUUGACGCUAAGGGUUUUCCAUAGUUUUGCAUAAUAAGCUACGUUGACUCCGUUUUCUAAUAUUUUUGUCAUUUUAUAAAUGUUUUAUUUUUUCACUGUAACCUGCAAUUUCAGUUGCCACACUACCUACUGAUCACGUGUGAUCUAAUCAUUGUAUCAUAGUAAUUAUUGGACUGCCACUAAUGCUGGUAACAGUAAAAGGAUAAAGAUACUCUGAGACCCAAAUUCUAACAAAUUUUUGACAUCGGACACGUGUCAUAAGUUAAUUGGUCUGUGUGUUUUAAUUUUUUUAAACAUUAAACACACAUACCAAUUGACUUAUGACACGUGUCCGGUGUCAAAAAUUUUUUAGAAUUUAAAUGUCAAAGUAUCAUUAUCCAUAAUAAAAUUGUACUAUCAAAUGCUUGAGAUAAAUUAUUAAUCAAGUGAUCACACUGAUAUGAUUACUAAAUAUAUAUUUAUGAUUUAAUUGGAAUUGCAAAUAACUAACUAAUUAUAAGCAUCAUUACUAAUAUUUUUUAAUUUACUUUUUUUUUUCAUUUCUUAUAAAAUGUUGCCUUCUUAACUCUAAUUAUAAGCUCUCUAAUGAUACUUUAUCUAUUGAAAUUUCUUCUAUAAUUAUGUACAAAUGCAUCAAAGAGAAUCUACGUUCUACUCUAUUUAAAAUAUUCUCAAACACGAUAAUUAAUCUAUAAAAAAUAUUAUUACUUUGUUAAAUAAUCAAAAUUAAAUGAAUUUAAAUUAAAUAGUUAAACUUGAAAAAUUACCUUUUUUUUAUCCAAAAUAAAUAUUCUUGACAAUUAAUUUUCUCAAUAUCAACACUAUCACUAACAAUUGAUCAAGGUUGUCUUCAUAUAACAACCAUCUAUGCCAAUAAAAAUCAUCUACGCCAAUAAAAGAUCUGUAACUACCUAAGAACUUCUCUUUAUAUAUCUUUAAACACAUGUAAAAAUACUUAAACCUUAAUGAUAAAAUAGGUUGAAAGGUUAAUUAAAGUUAAUUUUAAAAGUUCCUGCUUUAACUCUUAACAAUUUAGCAAUAUAAUCAUACAUAUGACCAUAUUACUGUUUUACAUCUCUCACUAAAAAAAUUCAUUACAAAUUGUUUUGCUUUUUCAAUCUUUCAAAGUAUUAUUUCAACAUUGUAUGUUUUUUUUUUAUUUUAUCGAUGAUUUGAUUAUCGGCCAUGUUAACCUUAUUUAUAAAUUUGUUUGUCAAUACAUGAUUUUGUUAAAAUAAAAUAUAAAAUGAUUUCGAAAAAUAAAUAAAUGGAAAAUAAGUAUUUUAACUUUUUUUUAAAAUAUAUAAUAAUAACAAUAAAUGAAUCAAAAGACAAAAUAAAAAUAGAAUAAAAUAUAAAUUAAGUUAAAAUAUAUGUGUAUAAUGUUUUUUUUAUAUAGCAAAAUUCAGAAUUAUUAAAAAUAAAAAAGGUGUUAAGGUAAGAUAGUAAAAAAACAGAGGAAAAAGUUAAAAAAAAAAAAACAAGGACGAUUUAAUGCAUUUUUCAGAAAAAAGUUUCCACUCAUACAUAUGUGGCAUUUUUUUUUUUUUCUUUUUUCCCUCCGCAGGGAUUUAUCACGCGGGAGGCACGAGAUGGGGUUUUUAAGCAUAGCAGCUGAAGUGUGUCACAAGGAAUGAGAGUCAGAUCACCGUGAAAAACUAGCCCUAUAGUACUAUAUAAACCUGUUUUUUUAGUUAUUUUGGGGGAUUAUUUUGAAAAAAGAGAGAGCACGAAGGGAAACUGAAGAAAAAGAGAGAAAAAGGAAAAAAUUUCGGGAAGAAAGUUUGAGAAAGGCAGAGAAAGAAAGAAGCGAGAAUCGGAUUGGCCUCUCACGACGAAGGUUUAUUACCUAAUUCUCUUAUUCCUUAAUCAAAUUGUUUGAUCACUGCGUGUUUGUCAUACUUUAUUUUAUUAUUUAUUCUAUCCCCUCUGCGAUAAUGUCCUCUUUCCUGCAAAUCCUGUGCACAAUUUCUUGGCAUUAUUGUGAUAAGUUAUGGUUUGAUUCUGUUAUAUCAUUCUGUAUUCUGUUGAUUCCUGAUUACAAAAUGAACUAGAAAUAGUAAAAAAUCAUAAACAAAAAAAAAAAUAGAGAUAAGGUGUGAAGUAAGUCACUAAUCACCCGUUCUCCUCUGUCACAGUUGAGAGAGAAGGUGUGAAGUAAGUCACUAAACGUUGUGCCUCUAUUUUCUUCUUCCUUGGAAUCCCUGUUCUCUGCAUUGGCUCAGGAUGACAUCUCCUGAGAUCCUUUCGUUCAUGGAGCUAGCCAUACACCAGGUAAUGCUUUGCAAACAUUUUUAUAUGCGCCAUUAAUUUCUGCAAGUAUGCCUCCUGCAGGUAGGGUUGUUUUCUUUUCUGUAGGUGAUAAACACCAUUCAUACUUUUUUCAGAAAUUAACUGUAUAUUCAAUAGUUGCCUAUGUGGUUUCUUUGGUUAUUGAUCUUUAUGACUCAUCAAAUUGGAAAUGAUGGGAGGCGGUGGAGUAAGUUGGUGCUAGCUUUUAGUGGAACACAGUGUUUGUCUUCUUCAUGACCGCUGUUGUUGCGUUCAAACUGACAAUUUAACCCAUCUAUCUCCCUGACUAUGUUGAUUCUGCUCUCCUUACGUUCACCAUGUAAUCUAUGCAGAAAUGUAUAUUCUUUCUCUUUUAUUAUUAUUAUUAUUAUUAUUAUUAUUAUUAUUAUUAUUAUUAUUAUUUAUAAGAAGGCGAGCCUUAACACAGCGGUAAGGUUGCAUACAGCGACCCUCCCUUGUACCUUUUCAUGGCGAGGAGCCCUCUAGCAUUGUGGAACUCUAGUUUUGUUGUUGUUGUUAUCGUUAUUAUCAUUUCAUUGGAUUUAACUGUUUUUAUUUCUUUUAAUUACUCUUAUUUAUGUGACAGGCGAGGUUAGCUUUGGAUGCUCUUGAAGUGCCUGUUGGGUAAGUUACCUUCACAAUUUCAUGUUACUUGAAUAUCAUUGGAAGUGUAACUUGUAAUUGAUAAAGGUGUUGUUAGGAUUGGAAAGUGUUAGGCAAGGGUGUUGACUGUCAUUCACAUUCAUCACUGGUGCUGGUUGAUUGCGUUAAGACAACGAAAUGCAUUCUAUGGUAAUAGGAUAUUUAGUUAGAUAGUUGAAAUCAGAAAAUAUUUUAGUUUUUUUCUCUAUUGUCAGGAAGAAGGGAGGGUGAUACUGUUUUUAAUGUUGAAGAUGACUGUCCUCCUUGGACAUAAAUAAACAUAGCUAAAGAAAUGCAUAGGAGAGUGUGAGCUAAAUGGGUGUCGGUGCUGUGAUGACUGUAUACGUGACAAAAGAGGUUGUAAUAAGUUGCUUAAACUUUUAAUUGGAUUUUGGAAAUGUGAGAAGACUUGCAUGACUCCUAUUUAAAAGACAAGGUACCGAUUAAACAGAAAUUUAAUUACAUGCAUCAGUUUUUAAAGUCAUUUCAAGUCAAUACCAAUGGGAUUUAAUGAAUCAAUAACAGAGUUGUAAUGACUCUCGACUAAAAGUGUUAGAAGUCUCAUAUUGAGUAGGAUAAGCUACUUGAUGUGAUACUUAAGCUUUAGGGUUUUCCCAAUAGUGAACUAGUCUUUUGGGUUGGACUGUCCUCUUGUACUUAAAUCCUAGUAGUUGGUGUUUUUAUUAAGAGUUGGAUUAUGAAAAGGGCUACCUACGGGUUGGAUUAAGGUGCAAACUGAAUACUGAUAGGUAAUUAAAUCCCUUACAGGGAAAAAGGGUACCAUCGGGUCAAUGUUGAUACAAUGAGGUCUUCGUGGACGUCAGCCUUAAAGGGGAUGUAGUGUUAGGUGCCCACAUCGAGUAGGCUAAACUAUUUGAUUUGAUACGUAAGCCUUUAGGUUCUCUCACUUAAUGGACUACUAAUCAUUUUGCUUGAACUCUCCUCUUAUGCUUUAAGUCCUAACUGGAAACAUGCUACGGGAUUGGUCAAAUCAAUGUAUUCUAAACGGGCAUGUUUGAUUAUCAUUGAUCUCUUAUGUAUUGUACCAAAUCCAAUCCGUUGAACUGCUUUUUGAAUUUAGAUAUGGAUGCCCAUUUUCAUUGGUCUUUUUAUUUUGGAGAAAAAAUAGGAAAAAACAAAUUGAGCUAUUGGCAUCUACAUUGGAUUAGCAUGUACAUUCCGAGAUUAAUUUGUUUAGUAAUAAUGGCUUAUUGUUUUCUCCUUUAACAUCAUAGUAACCUUAAGAACAUUGAGCAUUUAACAUUUUCUUGUAAUUCCUGGUAUACUUCCUAUCAUUUGUUGAGUGUAAAAUUGGCUGAAGUAAAUCUUUGUUCAUUAGUCAUCUUGAUUGUAUUCUGCAUUGAAUCAAUUGGAGAGACUAUGUCUAUCAUCUCAUUGGAUCAUUAUUGUUUUGGUUUACUCUUUUUAUAUAAACUGUGGUAUUUGUUGGCAGAUGUGUAAUUGUUGAGGAUGCCAAGGUAAUAGCCUCAGGCAGGAACCGAACUACUGAGACACGAAAUGUAAUUUGAUCAAUGAUCUCUUUUCUGUUUUCAUGCAUAUAUUUUCGAUCAUUUGGUUUAUAUUUAGCUGUUCCUUUAAUAAUCUAUUUGUUGUUUAGCUUCUCCUAUUACAUAUCAUCAUCAAACUGCUUUACGUGCGCUUUGUUACUUAAAACAAGCUCCUGGUUUAGGUCUGUUACUUCAUGCAAAGAGUGAUACUAAAAUCGCUAGAUUCAGUGUCUCUGACUGGACUAUGUCCAGACAUAAGGAAACCUAUCACAGGCUUCAUCAUCUAUCUUUGACACUAGCCUAUCAGUUGGAAGUCAAAGAAUAAUCAAAUGAUUGAAUAGCACCAGCUAUGCUGGCCGAAUCGAGCUGGCCCUCAAGUUGGCCGAGCUAGCCGAACUGUUUAUUAGCCUGGCGUGUUUUCUAUUAUUUCCGGUUUUUUUUUUUUUUUUUUUUUUUUUNNNNNNNNNNNNNNNNNNNNNNNNNNNNNNNNNNNNNNNNNNNNNNNNNNNNNNNNNNNNNNNNNNNNNNNNNNNNNNNNNNNNNNNNNNNNNNNNNNUAUAUAUAUAUAUAUAUAUAUCCUCUUCUGAUAUUCAGCACAUAACAUCUUCAAGAUUCAGAAAUAAUAUUUCUUUCGUUCCUUUCUUUUCUCUGUUCAUGCUUCUUUCUUUUAUCAUAAUCAACUAUGGAUGUCUUGUUAUUAUCAGGCUACAAGGCAUGCAGAAAUGGAAGCUAUAGACCUGCUUCUUGGGCAGUGGCAGAAAAAUGGACAUUCAAUGUCUGAAAUUGCUGAAAAAUUCUCAAACUGCAGUCUUUAUGUUACCUGUGAACCAUGCAUAAUGUGCGCAUCUGCUUUAUCAAUUUUAGGUAUGCUUCUUCUAGUCUUGAGUUGAACAAUCCAUUGCAGUUGCAUUGCACUCUUUAUAUUGUCAUUUCUAAUUCAUUGGUUUGUGUAUUAUUUCAGGUAUAAAGGAAGUAUUUUAUGGCUGUUCAAAUGAUAAAUUUGGAGGGUGUGGAUCGAUACUGUCCUUGCAUUCAAGUAACACCACAACAGUCAAUAAGUAUGUCUCUUAACUCAGCACCAUCUAUGCAAGCCUUGUCUUGAUCUAUUCUAUCAUUACUAUUAUUAUUAUUAUUAUUAUUAUUCAUUAUUAUUUUGUAGGUGCAUGUCAUUUACUAUUAUAAUUUUUACUUCGUCAGGAAAAUUAUUAAUUGUUGUUUAUUGUCUUUCUUUCUUACAUCUGUCUGCUAAUAAUAUAUAAACAAAUAAUUCUUAUUUUUCUUAUAAACAGUGAAGUUCCAUCAGGAAAGAAUUUCAAAUGUACUGGAGGUAUAAUGGCAUCAGAAGCUGUUCUUCUCUUUCGAACAUUCUAUGAGCAAGGAAAUCCCAAUGGCAAGUUACUUUGGUCCUUUCUCACUAGCACACAAAACCUUAUAAAGCUUUAUGAUAUUGUUGAUAUGUGUUCCAUAUAGCCCAUAUUAAUAAAUAAUACUUAUGCUCUUUCUAUUUCUUCUCAGCUCCAAAGCCACACAGGCCUUUAGCACGUCAGACAUGAAGUGUAAUUCGUAUAUCAUCAGGUGGGUUUCCGUCAUUUCUGUGUACAAGGUUUUUGGUUAUGUAAAGCUGAAAGACGUUUUUUACUUAUCCAUUGGUUUGAAUUUCUAUUUUGUUUUCUAAUAUUUAUUGCUGUUGUUGAUAUAGUAUCUGUUAUGAACUGAGAAUCUGUACUACCUUGGCAUAUUGAGCGGAUUCAAGCUGGUGUUGAAUGUCAUACAAGACCUUUCAAUUCAAAAAUCAACUUGAUGUGUAAUUUAAAACAAUUUCUAGAAAGACGAAUCACAUGUUGUCGUUCUAACUUAUUCAUACUGGAGGUUCAAACUAGUUGCAAAAUGGAAUUUAAUCUAUUCAUUUUUGUUAAAUAAUUUUUAGUUUCUGGAAGGUGCAGUGAGUUUCCUUUUUAUUGUAUACUUAAUUCCUAUUUAUGGUCUAAUUGAUAAAGGAGAUCGAAUAGCAUAAUAAGAAUUGUUAUAAAAAUUGUGUUAUAAAUAUAUUGCAAAAAAUAUAUCCUUUAUUUGAAUUUUUUUGGCUGAACUUGUUCCAAUGAGUCAUAUUCCGCAGGAGCAAGUCUUUUUAACUUCAGGUGCAAGGCUGCAGAGAGUUGGUUUUGAACUUUGUGUGCCUUUUCCCAAGUCAUGGGAUUUUGGCCCAUGACUACUCUCCUCCUCCGUCUAUAAAUACAUGUCAUUUGGUUCCUUCGAAAGAUAUAGUGCACAGACUUUUCUUCCCUCCUCUUUCAUCUUUUCUUUUUUCUCAAUUUAUUAUUUUAGGUUUAGUAGUUUAUUCUUUUUAAAAUUUUUUGCUAAUUUUGAUAUUUUUGAAAAAUUAGAGAAAUUCUUGAUGUCGUCUUGAAUCUAUACGUCCUAAGAAUUAAAUUUUGUUUGUGUUUCUGUCGGUAUUUACAAGAAAAAUUACUAUUUAGACUUUCUUUUUGGGGAAGGGCUUAUUCAACCUAUAAUAAUGAGUAUACAUAUUCUUUAUCUACCUUAUAAUUUAAAAGUUCUACACAGAAAAUAUGUACUCCAUUAUUGUGUUGCUAUUGUUUUAAAGUAAGGUUUGUUACAUGAAUGUAAUUAGUAUUUUAAAACGAGAUUUAAUUUUACUUUUAGCUUUAAUAAGAUUUUUCGGUUAUCUGACCAGACUUAAUUUAUUUCGUGGUUAAGCAAGAUUAGUUCGGGACAAAGUCUCAAGACUCUGAUAAAUCGGGGUUAUUGUUUCUUAUAAGUAUGCUAAUUUUGCUCAUGAUACUGUAUAAAAUAAUUUUCCUUUUGUUUCUUCAUAUAAUUGUUAUUAGGCUUAAUUAAAUUAUAUAUUCCUUAUAAAAUUAGGUAUUUAAGUGUCUGUUAAUUAUUAUUUUUUUUGUUUUAUUAAGUAUUUAAAAUUUUUAUAUGUUUUAAUAGAUGCAAGAUUUUAUAAAUAAUAUAAAAUUAUAUUGUGAUUAAUGUAAAAUAAUAAAUAAUUUGUAUUGUUUUCACUGAAAAUAUGUUGAAGAAUAGAUAUGACGAUAAGAGUUUUUUUAUUAUCAUUGUAGAUAAUAACAUUAAAUAAUAUAUUCAUUAUCCGAUGUGUUUUAAUUAAAAUAAUAAAAACUAUUUAUUGUUUUAUAUUAAUUAUAAAAUUUUACAUGAUAACAAAUAAGUAAAAUAGUAAAAAAAAAUAAUCACAUUAUUAAUUAACUAAAAUAGAUAAUAAAUACUUAAUUAAAAAUAUAAAAUCGUUGAGUACUCAAUAAAAAUAUUAAUAUGAAGUCAAUUAUACGUAAAUUUAUGACAAUCUUAAAAUAUUAAUUAAGUUUUAUAUUAUUGCUAUUUUUUCCCUAGCAUUUACAUAUAUUUAUUAAAUAAUUGUUCCCCUACCUCCUCUUUUUUUCCUGCACCCCAUAAAAUGUAUCAUCCUCAUUUUACCAUGGAAUAAACUGUAUUAAAAUGGACUGCGACGUCAUUCAUAGCGUCGAUAUUUAAAGGGUGCCGCCACGCUGAAGAAGGCUCUCGGGAAGUCAACGGUGUUUGUGCUCCAUAAGAUAUUUUCCAAAUCAUUACUUUCGAAAUAUUCAAUCUAAAAAGUAUUAAAAAUAAAAAAAUGUAUUAAUUUUUAUUAUAUUUUCAAGGAGGAAUAAUUUGGAGAAUAUAUAUAUAUAUAUAUAUAUAUAUAUAUAUAUAUAUAUAUAUAUNUUUUUUUUUUUUUUUUUCUUGUGAUAUAGAUUAGAGUAGCACAUUGAUAGAUAAGCUUUUUUACAGUUUUGUUUUGCUCAUGGUCUUUAAUAAAUUAGUACAUUUUAUUUUUUUUGUCUUAAAUUUUUUAUUUUGGUUUUUAAAUUAAAUUUGUAUUGUUGCUUAUUGACAUUUUCAAAGUAAUUAGUGUUUAUUAAGUUACUGUAUUAUCAGUAGGACUGGUGUGUUUGUAAUUACGUUUUUUAAAUAAAAAAAAAAAAGAAUAAAUCAAUGUGAUGAAUAUAAUGUUGUUUUUAUUUCUUACUUCUUUUUUCAGUAUUCUCUAUUUAAAGGUGAACUUCAAAGAAGAUGAAAAUCAAUAAGUAUAUGUUUUUUGCUAUUCUCUAUCUUCUUUUGGUCACACUAUUUAAAAAAAAAAAAAAGAGGUUGCAAAUCUUAAUGGAAAAAAUAUUUUUCUAUAUCAUAAUGACAAAUGGAAGUUUAAAACUUUCUCCCUCUCUACACGCGCACAUAAUUAAACAACAAAUAGUAAUAAAGAAAUAAGACAGUGUUGUUGCAAGUAUUCAAGACAUAGUUCAAAUAUAUAGUGGAUUAAUAAACUAAAUACUAUAUAUAGUCUAAUAGGUUAAAGAAUCGGUAUAAUAUUAAAAAAAAAACUCAAUAAAUAAAUUAGUAAAUAUUUUUAAUAUUCUUAAAUCAGUAUAAUAUUUGUAUACAUUAUUAUCUUGUUCUUUUUCUUAAGUUUGAACAACAAAAUAUUUCAUCAGAACAACAUUAUUCACCAAAAAAAGUUAUUAACUAUAUAGACUAAUGUCGAUAUUGCCUUUAAAAUGAUAAAUCCUUUCACUAAUGAAGCAUUUUAUAUUUUACUAAAAAGUGACAAAAUUGAUGUUAAAGAAUAAUUCAUCAAAUUUAUUUAGAAUUUUAUUAUUUAUCAUAUCUUGAGUCUAAUUCAAUUCCAUGAAAUAAUUUGUAAUAUAAACUUUGCAUUCAUUUAUAUACAUAAAAUUUAUUGAGAAUUCAUGUUAUUUAUCAUUUUUGUUAUUGAUUGUAUCUUUAUUAGAUGUGGGACUUCUAAUAUAUAUUUAUGUAUAUAUAUUCGUUGAGAAAUGUUAAUUAUAAGUAUUUUAUCAUUGGAAGAGUUGAGCUCGUGACAUUUUUGCUUUCGAACGGAUCAAACAAACUUUAUAAUUUCUAAAUAAUAGAAGAAAGAGUAAAACCUUAUAAAUUUCUAAGUUUUUUAAGUUAUAUAACAUAGAAUUAACAACCCUAAUCAGGAUUUUGAUUUACUGAUUAAAUUGGUCAUCGAAAACCUAGGAGGAUUCAAUAAAAUUUAUAAAUAUUUAAUGUCAAUAUAAUUUUUAUAAUUUGUAAGAUCUUUUAAUAAAUACUGUCGAAUUUCGUUUUUGAUAGAUUUAAACAGAUAAUUAUGGAAGCAGACAAAGCUGAUUAUUUGGUUUGCCAUAUUGGAGAAUUGCAUAAUAAGUGUGAAACAACUGAAAAAGUCAAACGCAAAACUUGCCGGAAUUAUUUAAAAUGUCCUUUCUUAUAAUUCAUUUUGUUUCUUUCUUCCCAAUAAUCACCAUAUUUUAUGCUCUCUGAAAACUGAUUCAUCUUCUCAAACACGCUAACAUACUGUAUAGAGUAUUGACUGUGGCUUAAAAUGUAUACACAUAACCAAAGAACUUUCAUAUAUAUAUAUAUAUAUAUAUAUGGGGUUUGCUAACUUGCGUACGUCUGUUUUUCAGUUGGUACAUUUUAGCAAUGUAUACCGGGCUUCAGUAGACAAAAAUGCCCUUGUAUAUUAUGAAUUCUAAGUUUUAAGGUUAAGGGUAUUUUAAUAAUUUUCAUUCUCAAAAUUAAAAAAAUAAAAAAAGAAACCCCCAAACCCUUACCCACUUCUCUCAUUCCUCUCAACCCUUUCUGUUAACUCCAACCUUUUUUCUCUGUCAUCCCUACUCUAACCCCAAUUGAAAAAAAAUCAGAAACACUUGCCUUGUUUUAAUAAUUUUCAUUCUCAAAACUAAAAAAAGAAACCUCAAACCCUUACUCACCUCGUUCAUUCCUCUCAACCCUUUCUCCUUCAUCUUUCUCACUCAAACAUUUUCUUUGUCAUCUCUGCACUAGCCCUAAUUAAAAAAACACUCAUUAUUAAACAAUUUACUUUUGUAAAGAGUUGAGUCAUUGACAUAUUCACCUUCUGAAACAAGUUCAUUCAAAAUCUCUUUAAUUUCAUUAUCUUCACUAUAUAUAUUACAGCCCACAACUUGCACCAAGACUUAUGAGCAUCCUUCCUUUACAUUCAAAGACUACUACGUAACAUUGCUUCAUGAUCAUUUAAUCUUUUUUGGUAGAAAUUCAUUAACUUGUUUUCUUUACUAAAGAAAAAACAAAUCAAAAUACAAUAAAAUUCUUAACGAUAAAAUCAAACAAUAAAAAUUCUAAAUCUUGAAAUUUUAUUUAAAAUUAUAUAAAGAAAAAAUUAGGUGCUUUAAUUUUUUUAUUUAUGUAAGUAUAUUUUGUUUUCUCUAACCAUUUUAUUUAAUAAUGAAUGUUUUUUUUGUGGGACUAGUGUAGAGAUGACAGAGAAAAUGUUUGAGUGAGAGAGAUGAAGGAGAAAGGGUUGAGAGGAAUGGAGGAGGUGAGUAAGGGUUAGGGGUUUCUUUUUUUAGUUUUGAGAAUGAAAAUUAUUAAAAUAAGGCAAGUGUUUCUGAUUUUUUUAAAUUCUGAUUUUUUUUAAAUUGAGGCUAGAGUUAGGGAUGAGAGAGAAAAUGUUAGAGUGAAAGAGAUGAAAGAGAAAGGAUUGAGAGCAAUGAGUGAGGUGGGUAAGGGUUUGGGUUUUUUUUUUUUAUUUUGAGAAUGAAAAUUAUUAAAAUAUCCUUAACCUUAAAAUUUAGAAUUCAUGAUAUAAGGGUAUUUUUGUCUACUGAAACCCGGUACACAUUGCUAAUAUGUACCAACUGAAAAACAGGCGUACGCAAGUUAGCAAACCCCUAUAUAUAUAUAUAUUUUCAUUUAGCCAGCUAGAGUGCAUGUUCUUGUAGAAAAAAGUGUACAAAAGUAUACACAAACAAUGACUUAGUAUCUGUGUAUGCCUCCCACUUACAAAACUAUUAGUUACAAACAAAAUGUCCCACAUUCCAACAUUGUCAACCUGUAUAAUCUUAAAUAUUUAGCUAUUUUAUAAAUUAUAAAAGCCUGUCAUUUUUCAUUUUAAAAUAUACACCAAUGACAUGACAAUUGGACCCUCAUUUUUUGUCCCAAAUACUCGGAUAAUAUAUAUUUUUCAUCCUCCUUGAAGAAAUUGUAUAACACACCGAUUCAUAAUUUCAUCUUGUCACAAUUCAUAAUUUCGUGUGAAACAAAUCUUCCAUUUGGUGUUUUUCAUCUUUUAUAAUAAUAAUAAUAGCUAGGAAUAUUUUAAAAUUCUUAAAUUUCUAUCAAUUAAAUAAUUCUUUUUAUUUAUUACAUCAAUCAAAUCUUACAUUAAUCUUUAUAAAUUUUAUUUUUAAAUUCAUUUUCAUUUACUUUCAAAUUUAUUUUCAUUUACUUUCAAAUCAACUUAAAUAAAAAACAAUUAAAUUCACUUUUAAAUCUUUUCAAAUUCAUCUACACAUUCUUCUCCAAAUCCUUUUUUUCCAAAGUAAACACACCCUUAAAUUUUACUCCAAUAAUAGAUUUUAUUUUGAAUUUUUAAGUAAUUUUUUUUAGUUCCACAAUUUACUUUCUUAUUUUAUUAUUUAAAGUACUAAUCAAAUCAAUUUAAAUUAUUUAAAAAUUAAAAUGCUUUUAAUCAAAUUUUACAAUGCGAACAUUAAAUUGAUACCAUUAAUAUAUAAAAGAACCGUAAAAAACUGAAUUCCAAAUUAUUAUUACUAAAAUUACUUACUUGUAAUAAAGUAAUGUAAUGUUAAAAGAUUUAAUACAUUAGAAAAGUUAAUACUAUAAUAAAAAUUUAAUUAAUGUUUCAACAUCAUACUUGUUUCGGUGGAAUUGGUCUGAGGGUUAGUUGACCUUCCUUCUAUGUUUCUUUUCUAUUGUUUUGAUAAUACAAUCCUCCGAUGGGUGGUUGACCUACAAAAGACACUCCGACGCUCAAGUCAGAUAUGUUGUAUAAAGAGGUCUAUCUUUUAUUUAAGAUAGCUUGAGAUCCUUUUACCUGAACGUGAAUAAUAUAUUUUAUAAGGCUCUGGUAGCCAAACACAUUGAUUAAUCAUUAAACUAGACAAUUAAAUUCAAUAAUAGCUGUUAAUUGUUCAUUAAUACAAGAUUUUUGUGCAAUAUGACCUGUCAAUCAUUCAUAAAUAACGUAUAUUCACAAUUAAUAUGACCAUUAAACAUAUUAAUUGAUCAUUAAUGAUUUUUAACUUUCUUGUUUGUCUGACCGCCGGUUGAUUGCCUGUUUUAACCCCAGAUUCUUUCUAACCGGUCGGUCACUAGAAUAUAAUACAAUACUUUUAGCUUAAAUUUAUAAUUUUUUUUAAUUAAAAUCGACUUAGUUACGGUGCAAUUUUCUUUAAACUUGAUUCUUAAUACUUAAUAUAUUUAUAUUAAUUAGAUAUUUAGUUAAUUUUAGUAGUAACCAAUCGAUUUUCUUGAGGUUCUGAGCAAUCAGUCACUUGCAUGAUUGUGUGACUCAUAUUGUAUAAUUAAUAUUGAAAUAAUCAUUUUAAAAAUCAUACUAUACAGUAUAAUGCAUGUGUAUACAUGAUUAUUCAUCAUUUUUAUGUAUCUAAUUAAUGACUCACCGGACUACUUAUAAUUGCAAAUUGCAAAUUGAGAUUAUACCACAUCAAUUACUCUUUCAACAUCUUUUCUAACUUUUUCACAAUUUGUAAACAACCAGUCUUAUAGCAAUCACAAUUACCAUUUUCAAAAUAACUACUCUUAUAUUUAUAGCAACACAGUAACAAAUAAAAACUUACUGACUAUUAAUUAAACUUCCACGUAAUAAAAUUAUAUAUUAAACUUGUAAAUAAUGUAUAAUUACACAUAACUUUGAAAACAGCUUCAGUCUAUAACUUGCACUUUGAUAUAUGUUUUCUAAAGAUUUUUGGAUAACGUAAUUUAUGAAUAUUCCUUCAAGAAGUUCAUAUUUGGCCUAUUAUUACUACACUUUGAAAAAUCUCUAAGCUUUUGCCAACAAAAGUGUGAACGUAUGGGCAAGUAAAUCAAGCAAAAUGGGCCACGAUGGCUUACUCAAACUCACAAACACUGUUUUUAAGCACCAUAUGUCAAACAAAGUCUUCAAAAAUGAUCUGGAUACAGAAAUUAAUUUAGCUUUCCACAAAUAUAGAAUCAUAUAUUCAUGUCGCAAAUUCAAACAUAAUUAAACUCAGAAAGGACAAAUUCCAUGUCAAACAAAGCCAAUUCUGUGCAUGUAUAAAUUUUGUACAGCAGCUGUAUAUAUUGGGAUGAAUAGUUCUUCGCAAAAUAGUAUAUAUGGUAGUUAAAGAGACUAAUCAGAUUAACUUAAGACGUGCAUCGAUCGAGCAGAAAACGUGUUAAUCAAAAGUAUUUUUAUUUCAUUGAUGUAUCAAAUCAAAUAAAUAAUACGUUGCUCUAACACAAAAAAUAAACAACACAUUAAAUAAUAAUAAUUGAACGAUCAAACUAAAAAUAAAGAAAUAAAUAGCAUUACAACAUAUCUUCCUAAAAUCGAUCAAAAUUUCGCCGCCUAGACUUUUUCUUUUUUAUUUAUUUAGGAUAAUAUACAUUAGCUUUCAAACUCGCUAAUUACAGCUUUCAAGUUAAAAAAAGAAUCCAGUUGCAGGGUGGAAUUGAUCAAAGAAUAUGUCGUGGUGAAAAAAAAGGCAUAAAGUAUACACACGAGAUGUUGAUUAAAACAAAUAAAGUAGGUUUACCGGCUUAAAAAGUAAUUAUACCGAGUCAAAAAAAUAAUUUUUUUAAGUCUGGAGUUAACAUUUGUCAAUGUGCGUUAGUUUACAAUAACAAGAAAAUAUGUCUUGUUACCUGAAGCAAUUUUCACCGACGAUAAAAGCAUAAUUUGAAGAGCAUAACAAAAAUAACUCAUGUUUUUAUAAUCCGAAUAUAUGGCAUUAUGAUUAGGAAGAAAGAACUAAAGCUAAUGAUAAAGAAAGACAUAUUAGAGAUUUCAGGAAGUGAUAUUGCCAUUUUGACUUUAUCAUCUGUUUCACACUCCACAGACAUAAGUUCUUGGUGAAAAGACAAACGAAAUAAACAGUUUCGUCUGCUGUAACGCGCUUCUGUAUAUAUUUGUUUAAAUGUAACAGGAGCUCAUUCAACCACGCCAUCACCUACUCUCUUCUUGACUUUCUUCACACCAGAGGAAAAUAUAUAUGAACUCGUUUAAUGGCAAACCAUAACAUCAAGUUGAAAUGUUAAAAUAAUAUAAAUAUAUAUUUUAAGACUUUAUGCCACUGUGUCAUCAAACAAAGAUAUCCUACCAGCAAUCACCCAAGCUAAACACUAUAUAAAGGCUUCUAAUCAAUACUUCGGGAACCAAGAAAGUAACACAAUAAGUGUUCUAAAGACAGCAACGUUUUCACAUUCAAAGAAGAUGGGAACGAGGCAAUGGCCUCGUUUGAUCAUUGCAUUCGCAAUUUGCCUAAUGGCUAUCAGUGUUGGUGCUGAUGACUAUAAGCCCACCUAUGGCGAACCAUGGAACAAUUAUCAACGCCCAUAUCAACAACAAAAACCUCCUUAUUAUUACAACUCACCUCCAUAUUACUACAAAUCACCACCACCACAAUCUCCAUCACCACCUCCUCCAUACUACUACAAGUCUCCACCUCCACCAUCUCCAUCACCUCCUCCUCCAUAUUACUACAAGUCCCCACCACCACCAUCUCCUUCACCCCCUCCACCAUAUGUCUAUAAGUCACCACCACCUCCAUCUCCAUCACCUCCUCCUCCAUACUACUACAAGUCCCCUCCUCCACCAUCGCCCUCACCACCUCCUCCGUAUUACUACAAGUCCCCACCACCACCAUCUCCUUCACCCCCUCCACCAUACGUGUAUAAGUCACCACCACCUCCAUCUCCAUCACCUCCUCCUCCAUAUUACUACAAGUCCCCACCACCUCCAUCUCCAUCACCUCCUCCACCAUAUGUCUACAAGUCACCACCACCUCCCUCCCCAUCACCACCUCCUCCAUACUAUUACAAGUCCCCGCCCCCACCAUCUCCCUCGCCACCUCCUCCAUAUUACUACAAAUCUCCACCCCCACCAUCUCCUUCACCUCCUCCACCAUACGUAUAUAAGUCACCACCACCUCCAUCUCCUUCACCUCCUCCACCAUACUACUACAAGUCCCCACCUCCACCAUCUCCUUCGCCUCCUCCACCAUAUGUAUAUAAGUCACCUCCACCUCCAUCUCCAUCACCUCCUCCUCCAUAUUACUACAAGUCCCCUCCUCCACCAUCACCCUCACCACCUCCUCCAUAUUACUACAAAUCUCCACCUCCACCAUCUCCUUCACCUCCUCCACCAUAUGUUUAUAAGUCACCACCACCUCCAUCUCCAUCACCUCCUCCUCCAUAUUACUACAAGUCCCCGCCCCCACCAUCACCUUCACCACCUCCUCCAUAUUACUACAAAUCUCCUCCUCCACCAUCUCCUUCACCUCCUCCACCAUAUGUAUACAAGUCACCACCACCUCCAUCUCCGUCACCUCCUCCUCCAUAUUACUACAAGUCCCCACCCCCACCUUCUCCCUCCCCUCCUCCUCCAUACUACUACAAGUCUCCACCCCCACCAUCACCUUCACCACCACCUCCAUAUUACUACAAGUCCCCACCCCCACCUUCUCCCUCCCCUCCUCCUCCAUACUACUAUAAGUCCCCGCCUCCACCAUCGCCUUCACCUCCUCCACCAUAUUAUUAUAAGUCACCACCACCACCUUCACCUUCACCACCUCCUCCGUACGUAUAUAAGUCUCCCCCUCCACCUUCUCCAUCACCUCCUCCACCGUAUUACUACAAGUCACCACCUCCACCAUCUCCUUCACCUCCUCCACCAUAUUACUAUAAGUCCCCACCUCCUCCUUCACCUUCUCCUCCUCCACCAUACUACCCCUACUUGUAUAACUCACCCCCGCCUCCUGCAUAUUAAGCUUCUGGCUAAAUCAAUUUAUUUUUUUUCCAAUAAAUCAAGUUGAACAUUGUUGCAGUUGUUUUGUAAUUACUCAUUCAUUAAUAAUAGGGUUUACACUGAAGUGGGAGUUGUAUUCUUACUGUAGUGUAACCCAUGCGUUUGUAUUGGUUUUAAUUGAGAAGUGUGUAAUAUAUUCUCUUUUUAUAAAUAUACAUUAUUACCACAGAUGUUGGAUUCCGUUUUCUCUUUUCAUAACAAAAUUACGAUCACCAUGAAAUUCACGA
rnacentral:lncRNA from 1 species